GGAGAGGUGACAGAGUGGUCGAUUGUGCAGCACUGGAAAUGCUGUUUACCGUUUUGGUAACCAGGGUUCGAAUCCCUGCCUCUCCGCCA
rnacentral:tRNA from 1 species